rfam:Echinostoma caproni strain Egypt genome assembly, scaffold: ECPE_scaffold0001228
CUGCACUGACGAGUCCCAAACAGGACGAAACAGCUGUCCAGUAC